GACCAGAAUAUAAUGGAGAUAUGAGAGUGGACUCUUUUGACUUGGGCCAGUAAAAAAAAAAACACCUAGCAACACCUUUGAGACCAGCCACAAAACACAUAGUGGUGCACAAAUCACCAUCACCCGCUUGGGGAGCGAAAAGAGCAGCGUGAACAUUCAUCAGAACGUCUCCUUUUGAGCUCAUAUGUAUUUGGAACGACACGAAGUAUCUGAUGGCUCCUGACAGGCUCUUUCACCACUCACGGCUCUCAGCCCGGCGGGGAUCGAUGGAGUUUGAGGCCAUUCGUCUGUGUGUUUUACUCUCGGCCGUCGUUCAGAUGCUCCAGUAUGCUGUGUCUCGUUGAGGAGAAGAGCGAUUGCAUUUUACCUUAUUUCCUACCUUGUCUGUCUUUCUGCCUCCUGUAGGAAAGGAAA